GAUGAACGCUAGCGGCAGGCUUAAUACAUGCAAGUCGAGGGGCAGCGCAGUGUAGCAAUACAUGGGCGGCGACCGGCAAACGGGUGCGGAACACGUACACAACCUUCCUACAAGUGGGGAAUAGCCCAGAGAAAUUUGGAUUAAUACCCCGUAACAUAGCGAUGUGGCAUCACAUUGCUAUUAUAGCUUCGGCGCUUGUUGAUGGGUGUGCGGCUGAUUAGAUAGUUGGCGGGGUAACGGCCCACCAAGUCUACGAUCAGUAGCUGAUGUGAGAGCAUGAUCAGCCACACGGGCACUGAGACACGGGCCCGACUCCUACGGGAGGCAGCAGUAAGGAAUAUUGGACAAUGGACGCAAGUCUGAUCCAGCCAUGCCGCGUGAAGGAUUAAGGUCCUCUGGAUUGUAAACUUCUUUUAUAAGGGACGAAAAAAGGUCUUUCUAGAUCGUCUGACGGUACCUUAUGAAUAAGCACCGGCUAACUCCGUGCCAGCCGCCGCAGUAACAC
rnacentral:rRNA from 1 species